AACGAACGCUGGUGGCAUGCCUAACACAUGCAAGUCGAACGAGACCUUCGGGUCUAGUGGCGCACGGGUGCGUAACGCGUGGGAACCUGCCCUUAGGCUCGGAAUAACUCCCCGAAAGGGGUGCUAAUACCGGAUAAUUUCUUCGGACCAAAGAUUUAUCGCCUUUGGAUGGGCCCGCGUUGGAUUAGCUAGUUGGUAGGGUAAAAGCCUACCAAGGCGACGAUCCAUAGCUGGUCUGAGAGGAUGAUCAGCCACACUGGGACUGAGACACGGCCCAGACUCCUACGGGAGGCAGCAGUGGGGGAUAUUGGACAAUGGGCGAAAGCCUGAUCCAGCAAUGCCGCGUGAGUGAUGAAGGCCUUAGGGUUGUAAAGCUCUUUUACCCGGGAUGAUAAUGACAGUACCGGGAGAAUAAGCUCCGGCUAACUCCGUG
rnacentral:rRNA from 1 species